rnacentral:rRNA from 2 species
UGGAUCCAGACUUUGAUUCUGGCUCAGGAUGAACGCUAGCUACAGGCUUAACACAUGCAAGUAGAGGGGAAACGACAUCGAAAGCUUGCUUUUGAUGGGCGUCGACCGGCGCACGGGUGAGUAACGCGUAUCCAACCUGCCCACCACUUGGGGAUAACCUUGCGAAAGUAAGACUAAUACCCAAUGAUAUCUCUAGAAGACAUCUGAAAGAGAUUAAAGAUUUAUCGGUGGUGGAUGGGGAUGCGUCUGAUUAGCUUGUUGGCGGGGUAACGGCCCACCAAGGCAACGAUCAGUAGGGGUUCUGAGAGGAAGGUCCCCCACAUUGGAACUGAGACACGGUCCAAACUCCUACGGGAGGCAGCAGUGAGGAAUAUUGGUCAAUGGACGAGAGUCUGAACCAGCCAAGUAGCGUGCAGGAUGACGGCCCUAUGGGUUGUAAACUGCUUUUAUAAGGGAAUAAAGUGAGUCUCGUGAGACUUUUCGCAUGUACCUUAUGAAUAAGGACCGGCUAAUUCCGUGCCAGCAGCCGCGGUAAUACGGAAGGUCCGGGCGUUAUCCGGAUUUAUUGGGUUUAAAGGGAGCGUAGGCCGGAGAUUAAGCGUGUUGUGAAAUGUAGACGCUCAACGUCUGCACUGCAGCGCGAACUGGUUUCCUUGAGUACGCAUAAAGUGGGCGGAAUUUGUGGUGUAGCGGUGAAAUGCUUAGAUAUCACGAAGAACUCCGAUUGCGAAGGCAGCUCACUGGAGCGCAACUGACGCUGAAGCUCGAAAGUGCGGGUAUCGAACGGGAUUAGAUACCCUGGUAGUCCGCACGGUAAACGAUGGAUGCCCGCUGUUGGCCUGAAUAGGUCAGCGGCCAAGCGAAAGCAUUAAGCAUCCCACCUGGGGAGUACGCCGGCAACGGUGCAACUCAAAGGAAUUGACGGA